rnacentral:tRNA from 1 species
UGAUAGACUGUAGCCUUGUCCACGGGGCAGAGCCCCCCCAACCAA